rnacentral:rRNA from 1 species
CACGUAGGGGGCGAGCGUUGUCCGGAUUUAUUGGGCGUAAAGAGCUCGUAGGCGGUUUGGCAAGUCGGGUGUGAAAUUUCGAGGCUCAACCUCGAAACGCCACUCGAUACUGCCAUGACUGGAGUCCGGUAGAGGAGUGCGGAAUUCCUGGUGUAGCGGUGAAAUGCGCAGAUAUCAGGAGGAACACCGGUGGCGAAGGCGGUUCUCUGGGCCUUACCUGACGCUGAGGAGCGAAAGU